GGCUGGGCUCAGUGGGAGAGCUCUUGCCUUACAUGCAUGAGGCUCUGGGUUCCAUCCCCAGCACAGCAAAGAAAAAAGUGUGAGGGUACCACUGAGCACAAUGGCACAUGCCUGUAAUCCCAGUGGCUCAGGAGGCUGAGGCAGGAGGAUCACAAGUUCAAAGCCAGCCUCAGCAACAGCAAGGUGCUAAACAACUCUGUGAGACCCCGUUUCUAAAUAAAAUAAAAAAUAGGGCUAGGGAUGUGGCUCAGUGGUUGAGUGUCCCCUGAGUUCAAUCCCCAAUAUGGAAAAAAAAAAGUGUGAGGGUUGGGGGAAAUGAUAAGCCACGGGUCUGGACAGGAUUUGCGAGGAUGUAUUUGACAUCAAUGAGUAGGAGUAGCAGGGCAGUCUGGAGAGUGAGCUGGCGGGAGGACGAGGACGCAUUUACCAGGCAGUCAUGGUCUGGAUCUGUGCUGGAGCACUUUGCAGGCAUUCCCUCCUUUAACACAGUUGUUUUACUUGUGGGGACAGAUGUGCAGAGGCUGAGGGGAUAUGUCUGAGGUCCAGGUGCUAGGUAGGCUGUCCCUGAGCUGAAUUGCAGGGCUUCCAAGGGCAAGCUAAGCCCUUGCCCCUUGGCCAGGACGUGUCAUGGUGGGAUGGUGUGUGGCCUCCUCUUUUGCUUGGCACCUGAGCAAGGUCUCAGCUCUGAGCAGCUUUGUCCUUCCUUUAUCACCUCUUACUUUGAUCCAAAGAGUGAAAGGCAGUCAUUUUUUAACAUUGCAUAAAAUUGUCUCGUGAAUUCUUUUCUUUAAAACAUAAGUUCAGCGGGUCCUGUGUACUGUAUUGGAAAAGCCCCAAGACUGGAGACAGGCAAGCUGGGCUUGGGGGAAGUGAAGGUUCUCUUGGGAACACUGAGCCUCAGUCCUCUGGUGGCUGGGAAUUAGUCUAAUUCUCACUGUGGGACGCAAAAUGAGCCCUCAGAGAGGUUAACUAGUUCAGUCAAAGAUUUAACUACCAAGUGCCCCUCCAGGCACUGAAGCCCAGGUCUGGGGCAUCCUGAAGCCCAGCUACCUUCUUCUCUCUCUCCCCAGGGUCCUGACCUGCCUGAGUCACUGUGUGCAAUUCUUGGUUCCUAAACGGAGUCACGCUCAGAACUUCUCUCCUCAGUCUCCUUCCACAGUUCUUGAUUUAUCAUUCCUUCUCCUCUUGGAGAGGAAGCCUCCUACUCCUUUACAGCCUGGGCUUUAAAGUGGCCAGCUUAAGAGUUUUUUGGAAAGCUGCAGAUGACUGUAGCCAUUUGGCCCGGAUGCUGUGACUCAUACUUAGUGCACUUAACCGUGGUGGAUCUGUUUUCCUGCUGCUUCCUUAGAGGCUCCAAUAGUGCCUGGGAGAGCUGGGGAGAAGCUGGUUUGAGGAAAUGCUUCAUGUAACAUUCUUGUCGGGAACUUAGUGAGGAGUGUUUUUUAUUGAAUUGUUAUGGAACUUCUUCCACCUGAACUAUAGUCAUUAAACCUUGCCAAGAAACCUUAUUUCAUUGUCACUAGGAACUUGUACCUAUGUGGUGAGAAACUCCGCAGGUCACUCUUCCUUGUCUGCCUGGAUAGGUGGGAGGGGAAAUAUCCCUUCUCCAUGGGAAGUUAUUUGCAAUGUAACUCUAAGAGUAUUCCUUGCCAACAAAACACUUGCCUGCUUCCUGCCCUUAAGAGGAAAAGAGCCAGUCCCAAGGUGUUUGCAGAAGAUGGCACUGCUAACCUGGUCUCCUAGGAAACCUGUGGCCAGCUUGAGGUCAGCCUUGGCCCCACCCACUCUGGUCAGACCUAGGUCAGGCCACAGGAGCUCCUACCAUUCUACUCUGGAGGCCUCUGGAGUUCCUGUGACAGGUGGCCGGAAAGGGGGUGGGGCUGCUGAUGGGCAGGUAUCAGUCGUACCCACCUUCACCCUAGCAACUGAAGACCCC
rnacentral:tRNA from 1 species